rnacentral:SRP_RNA from 1 species
UGGCGGGUAGGAUCGGGGAGCUAGCCCUGCCCUGUAACCCGAAAUGGGCUACAUGCGGGGAUCCGCCAACCAUCAAAGGCGGCAACCUGAACAGCCAGAUGAGGUUUCACAAGUCAACGAUGAAAUCCCGUCUCGCAGGGCUUGGCUGGAGACGGCCUCCUCGAAGGAGGGGGUUGAGUCUCUCUACCGCCGAAACGGGUCAGGCCGGGAACGGAGCAGCC